rnacentral:rRNA from 1 species
UACGUAGGAUGCAAGCGUUGUCCGGAUUUACUGGGCGUAAAGCGCGCGCAGGCGGUCCAAUAAGUAUGGUGUGAAAUCUCCUUGCUCAACGGGGAGGGUGCGUUGUAGACUGUAGGACUUGAGGUCGGUAGAGGGGGGUGGAAUUGCUGGUGUAGCGGUGAAAUGCGUAGAGAUCAGCAGGAACACCCGUGGCGAAGGCGGCCCCCUGGGCCGAUCCUGACGCUGAGGCGCGAAGGCUAGGGGAGCGACCCGG